GGGCGCAUAGCUCAGGGGAAGAGUACUUGCUUGACGCGCAAGUGGUCGGUGGUUCGAAACCACCUGCGCCCACCA
rnacentral:tRNA from 4 species